rnacentral:rRNA from 1 species
GGAUAACUUACCCUUAGGACUGGGAUAACUCUGGGAAACUGGGGAUAAUACUGGAUAUUAGGCUAUGCCUGGAAUGGUUUGCCUUUGAAAUGUUUUUUCGCCUAAGGAUAGGUCUGCGGCUGAUUAGGUCGUUGGUGGGGUAAUGGCCCACCAAGCCGAUGAUCGGUACGGGUUGUGAGAGCAAGGGCCCGGAGAUGGAACCUGAGACAAGGUUCCAGACCCUACGGGGUGCAGCAGGCGCGAAACCUCCGCAAUGUACGAAAGUGCGACGGGGGGAUCCCAAGUGUUAUGCUUUUUUGUAUGACUUUUCAUUAGUGUAAAAAGCUUUUAGAAUAAGAGCUGGGCAAGACCGGUGCCAGCCGCCGCGGUAACACCGGCAGCUCGAGUGGUAGCUGUUUUUAUUGGGCCUAAAGCGUUCGUAGCCGGUUUGAUAAGUCUUUGGUGAAAGCUUGUAGCUUAACUAUAAGAAUUGCUGGAGAUACUAUUAGACUUGAAGUCGGGAGAGGUUAGAGGUACUACCGGGG